GGCAUGGUGGCCGAGUGGUUAUGGCGGUAGACUCAAGGCACGUCCUUAACUGUCGCAGACAGUCAGCAUUCUACUAGGGAAACCUGCACGAGUUCGAAUCUCGUCCAUGUCA
rnacentral:tRNA from 1 species